CCAGCAGCUGCGGUAAUUCCAGCUCCAAUAGCGUAUAUUACAGUUGUUGCAGUUAAAAAGCUCGUAGUUGGAUUUGUGGCAUUGGCCAGUGGCCUGGGGACUUUGUCCCCGGUUGCCGUUUGGCCAUGCCUUUUUUGGGUGGAAUCUGUGUGGCAUUAGGUUGUCGCGCAGGGGAUGCCCAUCGUUUACUGUGAAAAAAUUAGAGUGUUCAAAGCAGGCUUAUGCCGUUGAAUAUAUUAGCAUGGAAUAAUGAUAUAGGACCUUGGUACUAUUUUGUUGGUUUGCGCACUGAGGUAAUGAUUAAUAGGGACAGUUGGGGGUAUUCGUAUUCCAUUGUCAGAGGUGAAAUUCUUGGAUUUUUGGAAGACGAACUACUGCGAAAGCAUUUACCAAGGAUGUUUUCAUUAAUCAAGAACGAAAGU
rnacentral:rRNA from 1 species